rnacentral:rRNA from 1 species
CCUGGCUUAGGAUGAACGCUGGCGGCGUGCCUAACACAUGCAAGUCGAACGGAGUUAACGCUGAUGAAGCUCGGCGGAUUCUGUUAAACUAGUGGCGGACGGGUGAGUAACGCGUGGGUAACCUGCCUCAUACAGGGGGAUAGCAGUUGGAAACGACUGAUAACACCGCAUAAGCGCACAGUAUCGCAUGAUACAGUGUGAAAAUAUUUAUAGGUAUGAGAUGGACCCGCGUCUGAUUAGCUAGUUGGUGAGGUAACGGCCCACCAAGGCGACGAUCAGUAGCCGGCCUGAGAGGGCGGACGGCCACAUUGGGACUGAGACACGGCCCAAACUCCUACGGGAGGCAGCAGUGGGGGAUAUUGCACAAUGGGCGAAAGCCUGAUGCAGCGACGCCCGCGUGAGUGAAGAAGUAUUUCGGUAUGUAAAGCUCUAUCAGCAGGGAAGAAAGACCUCGUAAGAGGGGAUGACGGUACCUGAGUAAGAAGCCCCGGCUAACUACGUGCCAGCCGCGGC